rnacentral:rRNA from 1 species
GAUGAACGCUGGCGGCGUGCCUAAUACAUGCAAGUCGAGCGAAUGGAUUAAGAGCUUGCUCUUAUGAAGUUAGCGGCGGACGGGUGAGUAACACGUGGGUAACCCGCCCAUAAGACUGGGAUAACUCCGGGAAACCGGGGCUAAUACCGGAUAACAUUUUGAACCGCAUGGUUCGAAAUUGAAAGGCGGCUUCGGCUGUCACUUAUGGAUGGACCCGCGUCGCAUUAGCUAGUUGGUGAGGUAACGGCUCACCAAGGCAACGAUGCGUAGCCGACCGGAGAGGGUGAUCGGCCACACUGGGACUGAGACACGGCCCAGACUCCUACGGGAGGCAGCAGGAGGGAAUCUUCCGCAAUGGACGAAAGUCUGACGGAGCAACGCCGCGUGAGUGAUGAAGGCUUUCGGGGCGUAAAACUCUGUUGUUAGGGAAGAACAAGUGCUAGUUGAAUAAGCUGGCACCUUGACGGUACCUAACCAGAAAGCCACGGCUAACUACGUGCCAGCAGCCGCCGUAA